CUGAUCUUAGUGCCUUCUGCAGCACCUCAGCCCCUCAGCAUAUCUGAUGAGAUGCUAUAAGGAUUAUCAUCUCCACUUUCUGUACAGCCAAGCUAGCCAAAACUAAGCGACUUGACUAGCAGCUUGUGAAACCUGGAAACAGGAUAAGGGACUCCAAAGGCGAAAUCCUGCAGACUUUAUUUAUGAUUGCCCAGUGUAGAAGGAGCAAGGAAGAACAAACAAAUGAGCAGUUCAUGAGCCGUCCCAUCAGUGUCUCAAGGUCCUCCUGCGCAUAAAUUGCACCUCUCUACUUGAAUGGUGCAAUUAAAAUCAGCUAAAGAAUCUGAGUACCUGAAUACAUGUCUCUAAACUUCUAAUAACAUGGCAGUACAUUUUCCUGGAGAACUAAUUUGUGAGGUCAGGGGAGCAACAACUCCUAAAGAAGCAAUUCACAAGAAUAACAUUAAAGCAGCUUUGACUGCUGUGAACAUCCCAUUGGAACAGGAGAUGCUAACCAGGGAAUGAUCCCUCAAGGGAAACCAUGUAAUGCUAAAGCAUCUGAAUAAGGAGCAUCAUUUCUAAUACUCCGUGUAAUCAGGACACCAUCCUCCUGAACGGGUAAGUACUUCCAUGCUCUUGGGCAUUUCUCUUUUGCUUCAGGAAUAUUGUCCAAGUACAAUUGUCAGGACAGCUUCCAAGGCAUCUCUAGAGGUAUGAUACAGAAUGUACAACAAAUACAGACGUGACCUUUGCAUUGGUAAAACAUCUUUAGUUAUAAGUUUAUGAUUGCUAUUGUUUCAAAUAACAGUGACUGUCAGUACUACAUAAUAGCUCUUUAUUAUUAUGUCUUGUGAUUCUAGAUGUCCUCCUCCACA
rnacentral:lncRNA from 1 species